ACGCACCACUGGUGUACGGGUUGUGAUGCCAAUUGCAUUGCCCGGUAGCUAAGUGCGGAAGAGAUAACCGCUGAAAGCAUCUAAGCGGGAAACUUGCCUCGAGAUGAGUCUUCCCUGGGACUUUGAGUCCCCUAAAGGGCCGUUGAAGACGACGACGUAGAUAGGCCGGGUGUGUAAGCGCAGCGAUGCGUUGAGCUAACCGGUACUAAUGACCCGAGAGGCUUAACCUUACAACACCGAAGGUGUUU
rnacentral:rRNA from 1 species